GGGACAGUCCGGGGAAACCCGGUUUAAUACCAGAUGUGGCCGCUCUUCUGCCUGGAAGAGCGAUUAAAGGACUUGGGUCGCUUAGGGAGCGGCUUACGACCUAUCAGGUAGUUGGUGAGGUAACGGCUCACCAAGCCUACGACGGGUAGCGGGUCUGAGAGGAUGAUCCGCGCGAGUGGGACUGAGACACGGCCCACACACCUACGGGUGGCAGCAGUUUGGAAUAUUGCACAAUGGGGGAAACCCUGAUGCAGCGACGCCGCGUGGGGGAUGACGGAUUUCGGUCUGUAAACCCCUUUUGCCAGGAAAGACUUAGGACGGUACCUGGCGAAUAAGCCCCGGCUAACUACGUGCCAGCAGCCGCGGUAAUACGUAGGGGGCAAGCGUUGUCCGGAUUUACUGGGCGUAAAGGGCGCGCAGGCGGCCUGUUAAGUGUGAAGUGAAAUCUCCUGGCUCAACCAGGAAAUUGCUUUGCAUACUGGCAGGCUAGAGAAAAGGCAGAGGUAGAUGGAAUUCCCGGUGUAGCGGUGACAUGCGUUGAUAUCGGGAGGAACACCAAUGGCGAAGGCAGUCUACUGGGCCUCUUCUGACGCUCAGGCGCGAAAGCGUGGGUAGCAAACAGGAUUAGAUACCCUG
rnacentral:rRNA from 1 species